rnacentral:tRNA from 1 species
GGGCAAUUAGCUCAAUGGCAGAGCGUCUGCUUUACACGCAGAAGGCUGUAGGUUCAAUCCCUACAUUGCCCACGA